rfam:Plasmodium cynomolgi strain B DNA, chromosome 13.
AUUCCAUGAUGAACAAAAAAAAUUUUUUUGGGUAAUUUACGUCUGAGAUUUCCUGAUGAAUAUUCCAGACUAGAUCUGACGAAU